AGCAAAUCGCAAAGUGAAAACAGGCGAUAAAUCAUUCAAGUUUCUGACCUAUCAGCUUUCGACGGUAUGGUAUUGGCUUACCGUGGCAGUGACGGUUAACGGGGGAUUAGGGUUCGAUUCCGGAGAGGGAGCCUGAGAAACGGCUACCACAUCUAAGGAAGGCAGCAGGCGCGCAAAUUACCCAAUUCUAACAGUUUGAGAGAGGUAGUAACAAGAAAUAACAAUACAAGGCAGUUAAAAUGCUUUGUAAUUGGAAUGAUAGAAAUUUAAACCCUUUUUGAAGUAUCAAUUGGAGGGCAAGUCUGGUGCCAGCAGCCGCGGUAAUUCCAGCUCCAAUAGCGUAUAUUAAAAUCGUUGCAGUUAAAAAGCUCGUAGUUGAAGUUCUGCUAAAAGUAACCGGUCUGCUU
rnacentral:rRNA from 1 species